rnacentral:rRNA from 1 species
CAAUAGCGUAUAUUAAAGUUGUUGCAGUUAAAAAGCUCGUAGUUGGACCUUGGACCUGGACAGGCGGUCCGCCUCACGGCGUGUACUGUCUUGCUGGGUCUUUCCUCUUGGUGAUCUGUUGUUUCGGCAGCAGGGAACCAGGACUUUUACUUUGAAAAAAUUAGAGUGUUCAAAGCAGGCUCGACGCCGGAAUAUAUUAGCAUGGAAUAAUAAAAUAGGACGUGCGGUUCUAUUUUGUUGGUUUUUGGAAUCGCCGUAAUGAUUAAUAGGGACAGUCGGGGGCAUUAGUACUCACAUGCUAGAGGUGAAAUCCUUGGAUUUUGUGAAGACUAACUUCUGCGAAAGCAUUUGCCAAGGAUGUUUUCAUUAA